rnacentral:rRNA from 1 species
UAAGGACAAGCUGUGAUGGGGAGCGAAAUUUAGUAGCGAAGUUCCUGAUGUCACACUGCCAAGAAAAGCUUCUAGUGAGAAAGUAACUGCCCGUACCGCAAACCGACACAGGUAGUUGAGGAGAGAAUCCUAAGGUGUGCGAGAGAACUCUCGUUAAGGAACUCGGCAAAAUGACCCCGUAACUUCGGGAGAAGGGGUGCUGACCGCAAGGUCAGCCGCAGUGAAUAGGCCCAAGCGACUGUUUAUCAAAAACACAGGUCUCUGCAAAAUCGAAAGAUGACGUAUAGGGGCUGACGCCUGCCCGGUGCUGGAAGGUUAAGAGGAGAGGUUAGCGCAAGCGAAGCUUUGAAUUGAAGCCCCAGUAAACGGCGGCCGUAACGAUAACGGUCCUAAGGUAGCGAAAUUCCUUGCCGGGUAAGUUCCGACCCGCACGAAAGGCGUAACGAUUUGGGCACUGUCUCAACGAGAGACUCGGUGAAAUUAUAGUACCAGUGAAGAUGCUGGUUACCCGCGACAGGACGGAAAGACCCCAUGGAGCUUUACUGCAGUUUGAUAUUGCGUGUUUGUAUCACAUGUACAGGAUAGGUAGGAGCCGAAGAUACCGGGACGCCAGUCUCGGAGGAGGCAACGGUGGGAUACUACCCUUGUGAUAUGACCACUCUAACCCGCUGCUCUUAGCGAGCAGGGAGACAGUGUCAGACGGGCAGUUUGACAGGGGCGGUCGCCUCCAAAAAUGUAACGGAGGCGCCCAAAGGUUCCCUCAGAAUGGUUGGAAAUCAUUCGUAGGGUGUAAAGGCAGAAGGGAGCUUGACUGCGAGACCUACAAGUCGAGCAGGGACGAAAGUCGGGCUUAGUGAUCCGGUGGUUCCGCAUGGAAGGGCCAUCGCUCAACGGAUAAAAGCUACCCUGGGGAUAACAGGCUUAUCUCCCCCAAGAGUUCACAUCGACGGGGAGGUUUGGCACCUCGAUGUCGGCUCAUCGCAUCCUGGGGCUGUAGUCGGUCCCAAGGGUUGGGCUGUUCGCCCAUUAAAGCGGUACGCGAGCUGGGUUCAGAACGUCGUGAGACAGUUCGGUCCCUAUCCGUCGCGGGCGUUGGAAAUUUGAGAGGAGCUGUCCUUAGUACGAGAGGACCGGGAUGGACACACCGCUGGUGUACCAGUUGUUCUGCCAAGAGCAUCGCUGGGUAGCUAUGUGUGGACGGGAUAAACGCUGAAAGCAUCUAAGCGUGAAGCCCCCCUCAAGAUGAGAUUUCCCAUCACUUUAAGUGAGUAAGACCCCUGAGAGAUGAUCAGGUAGAUAGGUUGGGAGUGGAAGUACAGCGAUGUAUGGAGCGGACCAAUACUAAUCGGUCGAGGACUUAACC